GGUUCUGUGGUGUAAUGGUUAGCACUUUGGACUGUGAAUUCAAGGAUCCGGGUUCAAAUCUCGGCAGGACCU
rnacentral:tRNA from 1 species